rnacentral:rRNA from 1 species
UACGGAGGGGGCUAGCGUUGUCCGGAGUUACUGGGCGUAAAGCGCGCGUAGGCGGCCUGUUAAGUCGGGUGUGAAAGCCCGGGGCUCAACCCCGGAUGCGCAUCCGAGACUGUCAGGCUGGAGUCCGGGAGAGGGCGGCGGAAUUCCCAGUGUAGAGGUGAAAUUCGUAGAUAUUGGGAAGAACACCGGUGGCGAAGGCGGCCGCCUGGUCCGGAACUGACGCUGAGGCGCGAAAGCGUGGGGAGCAAACAGGAUUAGAUACCCUGGUAGUCCACGCCGUAAACGAUGAGCGCUAGAUGUCGGGGGGUUUUCCUCUCGGUGUCGCAGCUAACGCAUUAAGCGCUCCGCCUGGGGAGUACGGCCGCAAGGUUA